CAGCCUUUCAUCUGGACUCAGCGAAAUUCCCUUGAACUCGGUUUUUUUCAUGGCUUCCUUGAAACAUUGGGCCUACUCAUUCAAUAGUACCAUUUCUUGGCUGAAUGAGUGAAUGGAUAGAUGAUCCUGAAAGAAGUGGGGUCCUUCUAAUAGAACUCUACUAUCAACAAAAGAACACAGAUGAAAAAACUAAGAACUAAGAGAGAGGUGGAGAACUAAGAGAAGAAAAGCCAUUCACUCGAAAUUACAUACCACGAAUAAACGUUCUGUUCAACAGAUGCUUAAGAGAGAAAGCCAACUUUUUGGAUACACUGCUAAAGUUAAAGGACUGAAUUGGGGGUAAAAGCCCAGUAGCCGCAGUUCGACAAAACAAUUGAAUUUGAACAGGAGAAAACAGAUGGACCCCACCUUGAGGAGACAGGAAGAGGCCCUCCCUCUGCGAACCCUUCCCACUCUUCCAGAAAGUGGCAAACUUCCUUUAGCUGCUGGAGGACCCUCCACUUUGUAUCUGAAACUAUGCAUCUGCCUCUCCUGCUCUGCUAUGAAUUCCUCAGUAGGAAGGACUGAGCUUUAUUCAUCCUCCUUGAAGUCCCCAGGCCCGCAGUUGGCGCAAGUCUCUGCCUCAGCCGCUGAAAGCACGCAAUGGAACAGUGUGCCUUUCAGCAAAUAAGAGUGAGCAAUGGAAAAUGCAAAGCGUCAACCCUUAAUGCAAGCAAUGGCAUGCUGAAUGCAAUUCCAAACGAAGGGAAACUGCUUAUUUUCACUGAAAUGAAGUACUCUGGGAAGUACUUCCCUCCAGUUCUGGGAGUCCGUGGUGAUAAAGCUAGUUCAUCAAGGCUUAGCACGCCCCCUGUUGGAUUUAGCUGGCAUUUAGUAAGAAGAGGACAGGAGAGAAACUUGUUGAUACAGAUCAUUUCUUGGACAUAGGUAUGUAGGGGUAGGGCCCUUUCUGCAAAAUUCUCUGUUAACAAGGCAUGAAAUGAGUCAUGUAUUUACUAGACUAUCCCUGGAACAUAAUUUGACUAAUCUCAAAAAGGUCACUCCUUUUUGAAGAGUAGAAAUAUUUUCCUGAUGGGAAGUCAAAAUGGCAUGGACUUAAUUCCUCUUAGCAAGCAUGCAACCACAAAAAUCAAGUCAACCACUAAAAUUCCUCUUCAGGCCCCCCCCCCAGGUGAGGUUUAAAUUGUAAUCUCUAAAUGUCCAUUGAUAGAGAACUUGUUGAGUAAGUAUAGUGCGUCCAUACUUUGGAAUACUGACAUGGAACAAUCUCCAAGAUAUAUUAGUGACUGGAAAAAAAAAGAAAAAUGCUGAGCAAUAUGUAAAUUUGAUCAUAUAUGCAGAGACUUCCUAUAGAAGAUUCCACCAGAAAAUAGUAACAAUUGUCUCCUGGGAAAGAAAUUACUGCAGACAGUGAUAGAAAGAAAACCUCUUUUCACUAUAUUUUUGGUUGCUACUCACUAUUUGUAUCUUGGAUGCUACCUAUGGAAAUAAUCUAACCAAUUAAAAAAAUGUAACAACCUUAUGAAGGUCCAGUAAAAUUCA